AGAGCCUACGGGGGGCAGCAGUGGGGAAUAUUGCACAAUGGGGGAAACCCUGAUGCAGCGACGCCGCGUGAGUGAAGAAGUAUUUCGGUAUGUAAAGCUCUAUCAGCAGGGAAGAUAAUGACGGUACCCGAGUAAGAAGCCCCGGCUAACUACGUGCCAGCAGCCGCGGUAAUACGUAGGUGGCAAGCGUUAUCCGGAUUUACUGGGUGUAAAGGGCGCGUAGGCGGGGAAGCAAGUCAGAUGUGAAAACCACGGGCUCAACCUGUGGCCUGCAUUUGAAACUGUUUUUCUUGAGUGCUGGAGAG
rnacentral:rRNA from 1 species